GCUCGGCUCUGCGAGGGGAGAGGGGCGGAGCCGCGGCCGAGCCUCUUCGGGCGGGAGCUCCGGGAAAAUAACCUUAAAAAAAAAAAAAAAAUUAUAUAUACAAGGCGAAACGCCGCAAAAUCGGAAAGGUGUGGAGAAACUAUCUCGAAUCAGGUGGUUGUUGACAUCUCUUAGUCAAGGACAGCGUGGAGCUAACAAGCUCUGCGGAUGAGGUACAUCGGGAUGUUGGUGUAUCCAUUGCCAACUUGGCGAAACACUCAAGGCCCGUGCAUCCUGUAGCUGAAGGUGUUAAUCCCAAAAUUGCUGCUGUGGCAUUCCUGUCAGUCAUGGCAUCUCAGGAGCUGCAAACCCAUCAGGGUGAAGACAGACAGGAGAACCUCAGGAAUGAUUGCAGCCUGACUGCUUUUAUCUGCCUUUAUCUCCAGGACUGAGGAGAUGGUGGUCAUGGCCAUAGCUGGGCAUGGUCACUGGUCUUGGAAGACCCAUGGAUGUUCAACCACCUGACGUGUACCCAGCAAGAGAGUUGGUCUGCUGCCGUACUUGGAAAUGCUAAAGAAAAGGAACAGCAACUAAACCUAUAGCUCAAAAUUUCCAUCCAGGUUCCAUUUUCUCCCUUCAUCUGAAAUAAAAAAUUAUACUUGUGCUGACCUGUGUCAGAAAAGUGUGAUGUUCAUUGAACCCUGAGCGUUAAAUUUGUGUCCUUGCUGCAAACUAUUCAUAGCUUUUACUGUGGCAGUCUAUCACUGCAUCCUCCCCAUAUCUCUGAGCAGAUAGAUUCUGAGGUCCUGUCACUUACCUGAAACACCACAUGGCACCUGCUGCUCUCUAAUGCACUGCACCACCAUUUUUCAUAAUUCCUUCCCAAAAUUCCUAGGAAGGCAGGACUUGGCAUGUACUGCAACUUCUCUGCAGCUGCAUCAGUCCCUGGUCAAGAGGGCCAUGAUCAAACACACCAGACAAAUGCUUAAUUACUAUUUCCUUUCCUAUGGAGGAAGCAAAAAUAAUACAUUUCUCCACCUCCCCCCUGGAUACCCAUCAGUUUUUGACAAAGUCAUAGAAAUUAAACACCUUUGAGACAUUUAUGCUUCUGGCAAUUUUGGCUGAAAGUAGUAACUGGUCCAAUAUUUUGGAGGGGCAGUUCUGUUCUUGUGUCAUAGUGGGUAUCUCCCAGGAGAUGCUGCUGAUGUUUUCCUUGAUGGUUGUGGCUAUAGUACCAGAAACUAGAAAAACUGAGGAGGUCUCUGCUGUUCCUCACUGCUGCUCACAAACCAUAUGCAGAAAUGAACUGUAACUUUGGAAAUGCUGCCUCAGUGUGGUCUUUUCGGUGCCCUACAGGCUGAAGUUCUUCAUAAAUUUAUCAUGACCUAUAUAAUUGACCUAUAUUAUAUGUCUGUUUGUUAAAUAGAUUGCACUAAUUAUAAACAUGAAUGGGUGUAGCUUAGCAGUUAUUUAUUUAUUCUGAGGUGUGUGGCUGCUGUCUGAAAUGAUGUACAGGAGGAUCAUUGCCAGAUUUUCCUCCUUGGCCCCUCCAUAUUUGACAUGUACCAUGGACUGUUGUAAUAAAACAUGAAUAGAUUCUGUUUUCAGAGAGGAAAAAUAAAGGAAAAUUGUUUUUAUUGCAUUUCUAGGCAAAGGGAUAUAUGCAAGAUCAUCUGG